GUUCAAGUGCAUUCUGCAAGAAAACGGACAGCCUAGAUUUUGUUCUUUUCAAGGUUGAGAAGGGAUGCCAUAUUUUAGGUUUGAAACCAGGCAAGUGAAAGCUGAAUUCCAACCUACUUCAACAUACUUGUACCCACUGUCUUCAAGAUAUCAGUGUUUGAGAUGUCAAAGUUCAAAUAUAAUAGGAACAUGUUUAUUAUAUUAUGUGAUGGCAUCCUCAAAUCUUAUGUUGUAUAACAAUAUGUUUUAGAACUUAUCAAGCUUUAUCCUGUACCUUGCCAAAAAAAACUCAACUCAGCAUAAUUCUCAUUAACUAAUUAUCAGUGUUACUUGCAUAUGUCAAUGUAGGUCAUUACUGGUACAUGCCUUACCAAUUAAAACUCUAAAAUUGAAAAAUCAGAGUCAAGAUUUUCAGAGCAGCAGAAACAGUAGAAUUUGUCACGUAAAUCUAAUGAUAUGUACCGUAGUUGAGAAUACAUAUGCUCGAGUUUCUGAUUGACAAUAUCUAUGUGGUUUUUGGAGACCAUGUAUUCCAACAAUCUAUUGGAAUUCCCAUGGGUACAAAUUGCGCUCCGUUAUUAGCAGACUUAUUUUUAUAUUCAUAUGAAGCAGAAUUUAUGCAAAAUCUUUUGCGUGAAAAGAAGAAAACACUUGCUGUGGCCUUCAACUCGACAUUUAGAUAUAUCGACGACGUAUUGUCAAUUAAUAAUGAUAAUUUCCAUUCCUACGUCGACUUGAUUUAUCCUGGUGAGCUUGAGAUAAAAGAUACCACAGAGUCCGACACUUCUGCUUCAUACUUGGAUAUUUUACUUGAAAAAGACACUAAUGGUAAUCUAACAACCAAGCUAUAUGAUAAACGUGAUGACUUUAACUUUUCUAUCGUCAACUUCCCUUACUUAUGCAGCAAUAUACCUUCAUCACCUGCAUACGGAGUAUUUAUAUCUCAGUUGAUUCGAUACGCAAGAGCAUGCUCUACGUAUGAACAAUUUCUUAAACGAGGUAAGUUCUUGACAAGCAAGUUGAUGAAACAAGAAUAUCAACAGUCUCGUUUAAAGUCAUCAUUUCGUAAAUUCUAUGGUCGAUACAAUGACCUUGUCAGCAAAUACAAUUUAUCAUUGAAUAAAAUGCUGACUGGCGUUUUUCAUACCAAUUGUUAGUCCAUUAUUUAUACACUGAAUUGACCACGGAUUUUUCCCGUUAUUUCCUGAUUAUGACAACGAGCACACGGCGGGUGUGACCGGUCGGCAGGGGAUGCUCACUCCUCCAUGGCACCUGAUCCCACCUCUGAUGUUUCGGAGGUCCGUGUUUGCUCUGCUCUUAUUUUGUAUAUUUGUUUAAUGGACGUUGAGAUUGAAUACUGUUCGUU